GACGGAGGGCGCAAGCGUUGUUCGGAAUUACUGGGCGUAAAGCGCGCGCAGGCGGUCUUCUAAGUCCUUUGUGAAAUCCCGGGGCUCAACUCCGGUUGUGCAGAGGAUACUGGAAGACUAGAGAUCGGUAGAGGCUAGCGGAAUUCCUGGUGUAGCGGUGGAAUGCGUAGAUAUCAGGAGGAACAUCAGUGGCGAAGGCGGCUAGCUGGGCCGGUUCUGACGCUCAUGUGCGAAAGCGUGGGGAGCAAACAGG
rnacentral:misc_RNA from 1 species